rnacentral:rRNA from 1 species
GGGGAAUUUUGGACAAUGGGGGCAACCCUGAUCCAGCCAUGCCGCGUGCGGGAAGAAGGCCUUCGGGUUGUAAAGCUCUUUCAGCCGGAACGAAAUGGUCAUGGUUAAUACCCGUGACAAAUGACGGUACCGGAAGAAGAAGCACCGGCUAACUACGUGCCAGCAGCCGCGGUAAUACGUAGGGUGCAAGCGUUAAUCGGAAUUACUGGGCGUAAAGCGUGCGCAGGCGGUUUUGUAAGUCAGAUGUGAAAUCCCCGGGCUUAACCUGGGAACUGCGUUUGAAACUACAAGGCUAGAGUGUGGCAGAGGGGGGUGGAAUUCCACGUGUAGCAGUGAAAUGCGUAGAGAUGUGGAGGAACACCGAUGGCGAAGGCAGCCCCCUGGGUUAACACUGACGCUCAGGCACGAAAGCGUGGGGAGCAAA